UCCGGAGAAUCCGAGACGAAAACGCAACCGAAAAUAUAGCUAACGCGACGGUUAUUCCCCGAGCGGCUUCAUUAUUUUGCGAUCCAACGAGGUCGACUGGACGGUACACUGGGGUAUCCGUAUCAUCGAAAAUUUGGCCAAAAGUUCAUCUUCUUUAAUUUUUCCUCAGCUGUGAAAUUUUCAUUCUUAGGAAAAAUUAAAGCAGGAAUAUUAUAUUUACAAAUUUCAUUUUUGCAUCCUUGAAGUGAUACAUACGUGUAAUAAAUAAAGCUAAAUUUUGAUAAUGGUCUCCUCAGUUCUUAUAUACCGUAUUUUUUUAUUGUUGUAUCAACUACUCUUUUAUGAUAAACAAUAUUUUAAAAUGGACUAUAAUUUAUUCAUGUUUUUUUAAGAAUGUCAUGUAUCACUUAAAAUAUCAUUCUGUUAUAUUUCAGGAUACAUCUCAAUUUUUGUAAAAAAAAUUAAUUGUAAAGAAUGCUUUGUUAUGCUUAUAGUAUAAUCGCUCGAAUUGAAUUUCUUUAGCUAUUGUAAGUAGAAAUGAUAAUAAUGUUACGUAUUUUUUAAACUACUAGAAUCAUUUGGAAUCAAUUUGAUAAUGCGGAAUCAAUUUGCGAUAUAAUGCAAGAGCGAAUGUUUAGAAAAAGAAACGGAAUAUCUUGCAGACUUUCGCCGAACCAAGGAAAUUUUUAAGAAGAACCAUAUCUCGCUUAAAGUAGGAGAGAAGAGGGUUGCAUCAUAAGGAGUUGCAGUGUACUAUUCAAAAUUCUAACAUGUAAAAUAGAUCCUCUGGUUUAUAUAAAAAGAGAGUUUUCUAAUAUAUAUUUGGGCAAAUAUAUGUUAUGAAAAAUUCAUAUGUGACGUUUAAAAUACGUUUUUUCCAAACAAAUACAUAGGUUGCUUGCCGUCAAGUAGGAACACGUGUUGCGAAGAUUCGAGUUUUCGCAGUUCAAAUUACUAAAUCAACCAAUCGAUAUCAAUCUUUUUUAAGGUUAAAAGGUUGUACGUCCAAUCGGUUGUAUAUAAAAUGAUUCCGCAAAAACAAAUAACAGAUAAGAAAUGAUCGAAUGUAAUUAAGUGUGCAUGUCUGUGUACAAAUAUCUUAAAUAUACUUUAUACUUUCAUUAACUAAACAACGCAUGAAAGAAUUAUCGGAUAUAAAUAUGUUGUCACAGAUGGAAUUUCAUUCAAUGAUUUAAUGUAAUGAUUUAUAAUAAUACUAAUUUGGGUCAGUAAGUCGAUCUAUGCUGUUGCGCGAAGUCAGAGUCUUGCGGUUAAUCUAAUUUCCAUAAAAUGGAAAUCGCUAUCGGGCUUCGAUUUUUUCCUGGAAGUAUCUUUAAAAAAAAAAAAAACAUUUAUUGCAAAUCAGCAACGAUUCAACGUACGAAACAGUUACGAAAUAACCAGGAACAAAAAUUCGUCUGUACGACGAGACUUCGUCGGUAUUCCCGUGACAUUGAGGCGUUUGAAGAUCUCUACGAAGAUUCCAUUUUUUUUCUCUCUUACAGCGUUAUUAAUAGACACAAGUUGUUCGUCGCAUAAUUCUCAAUAGAUUGACUGGCUAGAACCAGUGUGAGAAAAAAAGAAAAUGAUACUCUGCAAUAAUGUGCACGUAUACCAAAUUUUCCUGGAAUGUUGGAAUACGUUUACAUAUAGUAGAGAAAUAUUUUCAGUGGAUCCACUAAUGUGUCCAAUUCGUACGUUCUACCCUGUAUACAUAUAAUGUUUCCAUCGCAUUCGUCCAGACAAAAUGCAAUAUUCGGAAAAGCUUCUCACAUUGGCGGCGCCUAUGGACUCGUUUAUUUAUAGUACGCCACGAUGUCUCGACACCGGAGUGUAAACAUGUCGGUACUACCAUGGACUUCAUUUUAUUUUACGAUGUACUUUUCUCUCCUUUUUUCUCUUAUGCGCCUUCUUUUUUUCUUUUUCUUUCAAUUACGUCUCUACACUGGGAAGAACGCGCUUUUUAUCAUAACCGCAAUCCGUGAAACUCCUGGGGAUUACUAAUAACUGAUUCGAGGAACUGUGAUCGCGCAAACCUCGCCGAGCUUUGAUUUUAUAUCGGCUCUUUCGAAACAUUCUGUUUCCUGUGGAGAAAUUGAAAAAUCAACGAAUAAAGUAAACGAAGAAGGAAAAAGGCAACAAUGAUAAAGAAUAAAGAUUAUUUCGGUUCUGAUGUUAAUUAAGGAAGUUGUGGUAUUUUAAUCAGUCUAUUUCAUAAAUUUAGACGAAAAAUGUAAGGAUUACAUAUCUGUGGUUCACUUUAAUCGUUCUUUCAUUCUUUAUGCCGAAGAGUUGAAAAAUUCCUCAGUAACUUCCGAACUUGUUCUUCCAAUUGCGAGUCACUUUGUUUUUUAGCUUGAAUAUGGCCUAUAGUACUCGCAAGAUGAAUCACUGACCUAUCAUAAGAAUUGUGAUAAAGACUCAAUCGGAAUAACAAAUGGAAUUUUCUUGAGGAAAACCUGAAUAUAAUUUCUAAGGUCUCAGAGAUCCCCUUCCUUUGUAUUACUUGUUGUUGCUGAAAUAAGAGAAAUGGUCGUUUCGUUGGUUGUUCAGCUUGAUGCAUUCCUGAUCACAUUUACUGGGUUACGGUUUUUGUGUAUCUCGAUUUGCUCCACUAUCCAGAUAGAUGUUGAUUAACAUCAGGAAG